rnacentral:rRNA from 1 species
UACGGAGGGUGCAAGCGUUAAUCGGCAUUACUGGGCGUAAAGCGUGCGCCGGCGGUUUGUUAAGUCCGCUGUGAAAUCCCCGAGCUCAACUUGGGAAUUGCAGUGGAUACUGGCAAGCUGGAGUAUGGUAGAGGAAGGUGGAAUUCCCGGUGUAGCAGUGAAAUGCGUAGAGAUCGGGAGGAACACCAGUGGCGAAGGCGGCCUUCUGGACCAAUACUGACGCUCAUGCACGAAAGCGUGGGGAGCAAACAGG